ACAGGGAGACAAGGCCGGGAGGCAGGGAGGCCCCUGACGAGUGGCAGUGGGGCCGAGGGAGAAGGCCUUCGGGCUUCCGGGAGAGCCGUGGCAGGCGACACUGGGAAGCUUUGUCUCAGAAGUCCCUCCAAGGCCAGUUUUUAUUUUCACCAUAGGCACGGGGCAGCCAACCCCCGCCCCACGCCGGGCACGGGGCCUUCGCCGUCCUCCCAUGAGGGUGCGGAGGUGCCCGAGCUGCGUGGCUGGUUGGAGACGUCGGGGCCCAGGGCAUCACCAGGAAAGCCCCAGGGCCUCCCCACGGGCCGCACAGCAGGAGGCAGGCCCUGGGGCUCCCUCAGCCCAGACCCUCUGUGUGCUUUUGGUGUCAGUCCUGCCCCAUCUCGGGCCACCUCCUGUCCUCUUCGGCUGCACUGUCACCCUGGGCUCAGGUCCUCCCUGUGGAACAGUGGAAACGUGCAGCGGCCGCCUCCCCGUGUAGAGCAGGCCGCCCUCCUGCUUCCUCGACCGGGUCUUGCUGGAACUUCACACAGUCAGACUGUGAGCCCUGCUCCCCUGAAACCGCUUGGGCCCCUCCGUCCAUGUGUGGCCUGGGGACACAGGCUGUGGAUGUCGCAGGACCUGGGCUGAGCCACUGAGGUGGAGCAGAGGGACCCGGGCUUCAGGGCACCUCCCGUGGCUCCAACUGCCUUGGUCUCCUGCUGCCCGGGACCCCCUUUCAGAGCACCCUUGGGGGCAGGGGCCUUGCCCCCACCCACCUGGCAUGGGGCUGUCUCUGGGGGUGCAGCAGUGCAGGCCCCGUCGCAUGCCACCUUCUCCCAGAAGCUCUGGUGCUCCGGGAGGACCAGCCGCACUGAACUUGUAGCCCCCCCCCACCUCCACCCAGCAGGGCAGGCUGGUAUACAGAAGGCGCUUCUUACAGGUGGUGGACAGACCUGGCAAGCGGCGACAUCCUUGGCACGUGACCCAGGCGUCCUUCUGGCUCCAGAGCACUCACGGACUGCUGGGGGGAGGGCUUGAGGCCACAUCAGGGACCCCACAGAGCUGGGACCAAGGUCUGCAGAUGCCUUCCCGGGUCACUCCAUGCCCCCACCUCCCCCGGAGAUGGACAUGCAGCCAGUGUGCAAGCAUCUGAGGCUGAGGCGGACGUCACAGGUGUCCACUGGGCCUCCCAGGUCGCCAGGCCCAAGUGAAAGGCCGCCGGCCCGCGGCCCCAAUGUGCGCGUGGCCCCCCUUGAGCUCAGGGCACCUCAGGGCCACGGUUCGCCUGGAACAAACCAUUUGUGUAAUGGGUGCUGACUUUACUUUCCUGUCUGCAAAGCGCCUGGAG
rnacentral:lncRNA from 1 species